UUUAACGGCCGCGGUAUCCUAACCGUGCGAAGGUAGCGCAAUCAAUUGUCCCAUAAAUCGAGACCUGUAUGAAUGGCUAAACGAGGCCUUAACUGUCUCCUACAGAAAAUCAGUGAAAUUGAUCUCCCCGUGACAAGGCGGGAAUGUACUCAUAAGACGAGAAGACCCUGUGGAACUUAAAAAUCAACGGCCACCGCACGCAACCCCAAAGCCAAACAGACUCACACGAUCACCAACGCUGGCCUACAUUUUUUGGUUGGGGCGACCUUGGAGAAAAACAAAUCCUCCAAACCCAAGAACACAUCUCUUAACUAAGAGCAACCCCUCAAAGUACAAACAGUAACCAGACCCAAGACAACUUGAUCAAUGGACCAAGCUACCCCAGGGAUAACAGCGCAAUCCCCCCCAAGAGCCCAUAUCGACGGGGGGGUUUACGACCUCGAUGUUGGAUCAGGACACCCUAAUGGUGCAGCCGCUAUUAA
rnacentral:rRNA from 1 species